rnacentral:rRNA from 1 species
AUUAGAGUUUGAUCCUGGCUCAGAUUGAACGCUGGCGGCAUGCCUUACACAUGCAAGUCGAACGGUAACGCGGGGGCAACCCUGGCGACGAGUGGCGAACGGGUGAGUAAUACAUCGGAACGUACCCAGUAGUGGGGGAUAGCUCGGCGAAAGCCGGAUUAAUACCGCAUACGACCCACGGGUGAAAGCGGGGGACCGAGGCCUCGCGCUAUUGGAGCGGCCGAUGUCGGAUUAGCUUGUUGGUGAGGUAAAAGCUCACCAAGGCGACGAUCCGUAGCUGGUCUGAGAGGACGACCAGCCACACUGGGACUGAGACACGGCCCAGACUCCUACGGGAGGCAGCAGUGGGGAAUUUUGGACAAUGGGCGAAAGCCUGAUCCAGCCAUGCCGCGUGUGUGAAGAAGGCCUUCGGGUUGUAAAGCACUUUUGUCCGGAACGAAACGGCGGAGACGAAUAAUCUCCGCUAAUGACGGUACCGGAAGAAUAAGCACCGGCUAACUACGUGCCAGCAGCCGCGGUAAUACGUAGGGUGCAAGCGUUAAUCGGAAUUACUGGGCGUAAAGCGUGCGCAGGCGGUUUCGCAAGUCAGAUGUGAAAUCCCCGGGCUCAACCUGGGAACUGCAUUUGAAACUACGAGGCUCGAGUGUGUCAGAGGGGGGUGGAAUUCCACGUGUAGCAGUGAAAUGCGUAGAGAUGUGGAGGAACACCAAUGGCGAAGGCAGCCCCCUGGGAUAACACUGACGCUCAUGCACGAAAGCGUGGGGAGCAAACAGGAUUAGAUACCCUGGUAGUCCACGCCCUAAACGAUGUCAACUAGUUGUCGGUCCUUAAUUGGAUUGGUAACGCAGCUAACGCGUGAAGUUGACC